AGCAGCUAUUUAUAUGCAUCUAAAUUCUGAAAUCUUUUUGAAACUUUCGGUUUUAUUUCUGAUUGUGGGAUUCAGUGUCACUUCUUAGCACAUUGAGUACUGAUGGCUUUGAACAUACAGUAUGGCACAAAGCGAUAACUUGUGCACACUACCCUGCUGAGAGACAAUUCUAAAGGAAAAGUGAUUUUUAUGCUGGGGUUUUGUCUGAUUUUAGAAUUAGGGGAAAUAUUAAAGAGCAUAACAAAAUAUUUUAAUUCCUCUAUACACCACUAAAUUAGUUGUUACCUUUUUUAUCCAAGUAACAGCUACCUGAGAGCAGAGGCUGCUUUCUGAAGGCAUUCUCUACAUAGAAUUGUACUAAAACCACUAAAUCAUGAAAUGAACAGACAAGUUUUGCAGUAAAGAGCAUUAUUGCCUGGGUCUGUGGACACUUACCAAAAGCAUAUGUAAAGGGAGAAGAAUAUUAGAGUGAUAUAAGAGAAAUGGGCUCCCUAAAAUCUAUUUUGUCAUAAGGUAGAAGGAAGAAGACUUUGGGUUUCUGGUAAAACCUGGGUGAACCUGAAAUCAUGCUUCAAGGUAUUUCUACUGGAAUAAUUGUAGUAACUGUAGUUACCGUAAAACCUGAUACUAAAUCUGAGUGUAGCGUAUUUCCUUAAGCAGGACAAGCAGAUGUAAUGUUUUGAAUUGAACAUGAAUGUUGAAUUGGUGGUACUUGAAAGUACCUAUAGGACUAUCUAAAACAUAUUUUCUUGAUAAUGUGUUUUCCUGUAUUUUCUAAGCUCUAUUUUUUAAGUUCAUUUUUUUUCCGACUUCUGGAUGAUUCUUGGUAUUCAGCUGCUCUCUUGUACUUCCUUGUAUCUUGCUUGUAGACAGUGUAUCAUCCCGAAUUCUUAUGGGGCAUUCAGCUGUACUAGAUUGCCCAAGUUACUACAGGUCACAGCAGAAAUGCAUUAGUGGAAUUAAAUAGGAAAGCUUGCCCAGUAUAGGCUCUGCUGUUCUUACUGCUUCUUAUUGCUUUCAUGAGAAGAGUGGGAGGUUAUUGAAAGACAGUGCAGCUACACUGCAGGUUUAUGCCAAAUUAGGUCUUGAACCUGAAUGAAUUCAGGCAUCUGCUGCAGUUCAGAUUACAGUUCUCUGUGUGACCUCACACAUGUAAGUUGACCUCCUCCUGGUUUGUUUAACCCAUCCACAAAAUUGAGAAAAACAGGUACCUCCAUGAAAAAACAGCUGUACAUCUGGGCACAACUGUCCUGAGUAAACAGAUUACAAAGAAGGUAGAGGCUCAAAUGAAGGGAUAAUAAAAAGGAAAUAUAAGUCUCUUUGUCUCCUACAUACCUUUAUCAUUAACUUAGUGGUGCACUGUGUUUACAUUUAUUGGGCGUGUUUAGUCUCACUGGACUUCCAGCAGAACAGAUCUGAGGUCAUCGUCUUUUCCUGCAAUUCAGUGCAUGAGAAGCACUAUGUGGUUAGUCUUAUUGGAGGGAACACAGGCACAGGCUUUAGUGACUUGUGAAUGAAUCAAUAAAGCAUGUUCCUGUAGGUUUCUAAAUUGUCUCUUUCAUUAAGAAUGGAAUUGGGCAGUAGAAGAUUGAUUUUUCGUGGCAAAUCAGAGGGGUUUUAUCAGACCUUCAUUUAGGUUGUGGAUUUCUGGAGUAAAAAAGCUUCAUCAAAAAUACUAUGCAGGAUUUAAACUGCUACAAGGAUCAUAAAUAGUUUAAAUGUCCUUUUUCAGAACACUUUCUUGCACUCAGAAUUACAUGAGACCUGGUCUUUAGCAGUCCCCACAGAUAACUAAAUGAGUGGAAAGCUUCUAAGCUCCCACAGCUGAGGAUCGUGGCUUAUGGAGCAGCAGAUGUGGUAUUGGUUAAAAGAUAUUUGGAAAGGGAAGCAUUCACAGAGAAAUGUUACUGCUGCUAAGGUUAUACAUGUCUUUGUAUAUCACAAUUGCUUACAGCAGCUCUUGAUGAGUGAGUGUGACAUGAACUCUGCAGGAAAUGCAGUCAUCCUUUAGAAUCAUCUAAAAUAAUUAUUAUUGUACAGGUAUGGAACAAGAAGAGAGAUGUUUCAAAUCUACUGAGUUUUGUAUCAUCACCAUAUGGCUGUGAAGAUCAGAAGAAACUUACCUUUACAGGUGUGGUUCAUCUGAAUAUUCUUUUCCUGCAUGGCACACACAGGCUUAUUUGGAUGUGGUAGUACACCUUGACAGUGUUCUUUUAGGACAGUAUAACUUGCUUGUAGAUAAUACAGUGUUCAUCUUGGAAUCUACGCUUUUAGUACACACAUAUGCCUUUCUAGCAUCCUGAACCAGUGUUAUUUUCAUGGAUAGACAAGGGCAGUGCUGCAUAUGCAUUUCUUAAUUUUUUAAUAGGCUCAUUAAGUAGAAAUUUGUAUUUCCAAAUCCUAAGGGAGCUGGAGAAACAUGGAUGAGGCACAGUGCUGAGCCUAGACAAAAAUUAGCUGAAUCUAAGUCAAGAGCAGCAUCAACAGUAAUACUUAGAAGCACAGAGCUUUAUUAAGAAUGGAUAAUUUGCCAGGCAUUACUUUCCACAUAGACAGUGUUGUAAGACGUUGUCUAUCAAUAGAUUGCUACAUAUUCCAAAACGAGUUGAAGCCAAAUAAGUCAUCAUAAGAUGUGUCAUCAUCUCUUAUAUAGAUUUAGCUUUAGCUUGCAUGUACAUACCUGCAGAAGAUAACAGUGUUUUCUAGCAAUUCUCUUGAGAGGCAGUUACAUUAAUUUUCUAGUAACUGCUAUGUAAGAAUUACGUGUAAAGGGUUUAUGAAUUAUUUAUUGUUUGGUGCGAACCUGAAUCUUGAUUCUGCCCUGUUGUUGCCUCUCUGGGGUACUUGCAUUGAGAUCCUUCUACAGUUUACUGUAGAAGCAUGUUUAUAUCUGAAGGGUGCUUGUAAGUGCUACACAUAAAGAAUUAAAAUGUUACAGCUCUGCUUAUGGUGCAGUGACAGAUGCUGGUGUUACAGUGCCUUAGUGGGUGGUUUCUAGUUCAAUUUUCUGUUACACAGCCAUAAUUUGUAAUACUGCUUUUGCAUUGUUGUGUUGCAGAUAUGUCAGGGACUUAUUAAAGAUGGGUGAACUCUGCAGGAUCUAGAGGUCUGGGUGAGAUAACCAAAAUCUCUAGUAGUUUUUCAGAGCUUAAUGAGAGGUGGAGUUUUCCAUCAGUGCUUUCAUGUGUAAAUCUUUCCCUUUACAAUGAGGUAUCAAUUUUUGCAGGCUGCUUAUCAUCCAGGAGUAGGAGACAGUGAGAAGGUAUGUGCUUUCUGUACAGAGCAGAGCAUUCCUUAGUUGGGCUGAACAUCAGCAAAUGUUUCUGAGAAGUUUCCUAAACUGGGUUUUAAUACUGUCUUUGAUGUCCAGAGGAGAACACAGCUUUAGCCAUGUAGAUUUCUCUGAAGCAAUUACUAACCUAAUAGCCAUAAUUAAGGGUCUGUCACACUAAAGAGACACAAGGAAUAAGAGACUGAUCGUUAUUCAGCAUCAUGUUUACAGAAGAGGUUAUACAGCUCUCACUGGAGACAAACUGAUAGCUGUCACUCUGGGUGGCUCUGUGUUCACUAAAGGUGAGUUGGUGUACAUUAUUUAUCUUGAUUUUCACAGGAUCCAUUGCAAAGAACACCCAGAAACAGAAGACUUUAUUGUUUUUUACUCAUGAAAAGAAUCUCUUCAACUUGAUCUCUUCAAGUCAUUUGUGGAAACACGGAGCCCCUUAGGCAAUACAAUGUUUCAAGAUGGCUUUCAUAUGUGGAACUCUUGGUUACUUCCCAGCUCAGGUUCACAGGUUGGUAUGGGUUACAAUUAUCACAAGAACUAUUUUAAGACCAUAGCAAUUAAAUAUUUUUAUGGCUUAUUAUCAUAUUCUAAGUACUAAAUGGUUCUGAGAAAUAGUCUCAGAGAGAUUUGAUAGCUGACCCACAGACUGUGCACUGCCUUUUGCAUACAUACUUAAGCUAGUAGUAUUUCUAGGAAGCUAUAUUUUAUUAAUUCAUUAUUAUUUUAUUGAUGUUCAAUUGAUGUCUUAUUAAAUAUAAAUUAGAUAUUUGGGAUUAAUAAUGUAAUGGGAUGAGGCAGGUGAGAUUCCCUCAGGAUGGUUUAUAACGAAGCCUCAAAUUGUUAAUAAUCCUAAACUCAUAAAUAAAUUAUUAUGGGUGAAACAAAGGCAAAAAUACUGAAAUAAGCUAUGAAAAUGUUAAGUGGAGGUGAAGAGACACAUAAUCUGCUGGGAGAUCUGUGUGAUAACAUACAUUUGGCACUAAGUCACAGAAGUCAGAUUCACAUCAAUGUCCCCUGCUCCUUCCGAUCCUUUAGCAUGUAGGUGUGGAUCAACCCCUCGUUUCCCAUUAUUAUGCUGCACCAUCCUGUUCCCAGACAUUUUGCUUUGCCUGGGAACAGUGUUAAUUUAACGCUCUCAGCUGACCUCGGAGGCACUGAAAUGACACGGCAGCAGCAGCCCAGAGUGCUGCAGUAUAUCCUGCUGUUCACAGAGCUGCUGGGGAGAACAGGGACUUUUCUGGACACUUUUCUGUGAACUCUUCUGGGAAAAGUCAGGGGGAGCUGUCUCUUUGACUACACUGUGUGAGGAAGGACACAUCCUCUCACUUAGCUGUAUCUUUCAUCUUUUCCAUGGAAGACAGAUUUCCCUGUUGCUCCUCUGUUUUUCUUGAAGAGUUAGCAAGGAGACCAUAGAUCUCCCUUAGAUAAGAAAAGAAAGAAAGGAGGACCUACCUUUAUGUAAGGAAAGAAGGAUGGAAAGAAUGAGAGGAUUCUGAUAGUGUAUUUUCUGGUUUGUUUGGGGUUUUUUGGAUCCCAGAUUCCACAAACACGUUAAGAGAUCUGAAACCUUAAUUUCUUCGGCAAAACCAGCACCGUUAUCACAGCCUUGAAAGACAGAGCUAAAUCCCAGGGGAGUACUCAGUAUCUGUGUUUUAUACUCACUGUAGUGGGAAUUGCAGAAACUCAGUACUUUUUGAAAUGCUGCUGUAAUUUGAAGAGUUAAGUCACGCAGCAGGUUAGUAAACGUAAAGAAGUUUAGUGCCAAAAAUUAAUUUUGUGAUAUUUCUGCUGGUGGACAUGCAAAAGUCUGAAAAUCUGGCCGUGUUACAUGCAAGUAGUGCUGAUGGAGGCAUUCACAUAGGGAUUUGGAUGUAUCCAAUGUGGAAUUUUGUUCCAAAGUAAUUUUGGGUAGUUUGGUAGAUGGUUUUCCUGUAAUGUUAAAGCUGAGCGCACUCUUGUUACUUGUGUGGUGUUUUUGAAAAAAAAAAUUAAAUUGUUUUAGAAAAUGAACAAAGAGAUGAUUUAGUCACUGUUUUAGGCUUUUGCCUAAAAUUAUAUUCCAAGAACUUGAUGAUAUUGAAUGGCCAAAGGGUCAUAAACUAAAAAUUUGGCUUAAUAUAAGGUACAGAAAAAAACCAAAUAUGCUGCUUUUCUGAUGUGAGAGACCUUGGUUGCUAGGAGGAAAGUAUUCAAGUGUUUGCCUACAUUUUGCUGGGGUUUUAACAGUGUGGAAUAAAUAGAUAACACCAUGUCUUUUAAAUAAUGUUUUUUUAAAUAGUGGAACUAUUACCUAAUGAAGAAAUUGCAAUAAUCACAUUUCCAUAAAAGUGGGGAGUUAUGGUAUCUAUGUAAUUAAAAUGCUGUUCUUUUCCAAAUAUAAAUCUGCUGAUGAAUACAUUUUUCUGUAUUUUUGUAAUUGGAGAUGUUGAAAUCAACUUGUUGUUAAAGCACAGAAAAUUCUAUUGCCUCUCCAUAACAGAAUAAAGACAGAGAAGUCACAUGUGUGAUUUACAGCAUCUGUACCAAAAUUAUAUUCUUUCUGGUAGUUACAAAUGGUUAUUCCUGUGCAUCUGCCAGGAGGUCAACAGGUAUGGAAAACAGAUCCAGCUUGAAUCAUUCUUCACUUUUCCCCUGGUGUGCCAGGCCAGCAGGGUCUAUUGGAACUGUUGGCCAGUUCUUGUCCAUGCACUUGCUGACACUUCUCUAGGGAACCACAUUAAGCAAUUCCUUGGGUCACCAGAGAUGUCUGUGCCUCCUCCUUCAUGUGCCAACACAGGCUGGGCUCGGAAGAAGGUCCUGCCCUGCUCUUGAUGUUGUUUGCACUCUCCCCAGAUUUCUUAUGACUCGUGUCAGCAAGACAAACAGCCAUUCCCAUUUAGGAAUUAGAGAAGUCUCAAGGCUAGUUUCACACUCGGGGCUCCUUUUUUUCUCAUCCUGCAAGAAAGCAAGAUAUUAAUUACACAGCACCUUUUUCUGCAACUUUUAUGCAAAGGUGCUAAAAUUGAGAGAAUUUAUCUGUCUUUGUAAGAAAUGAAAGAUUAAAAAGCAUUAAGUAGGCAUUUAAGCUACACUGGUGUGUGGGGAACAUAGAAAACAUUCUACAGUCUCCAGAGACACCUACAAAUUUUUGGUUCUGUAUUUGUCUUAUUGUCUCCCUUUAAAAGGCUCCUGUUACUGUUGCUGCACAGCUUUAUUCAAAGUUACCUGUGGUGAGGAGGAGUCGAGGAUAACAUGGAUAGUAAUUAGGAAUCGAAAGAGGAAACAAAAGAAAAGGCCAACAAUGCAAGACAAUCAUUAAGUGCCAAAUAUAAUUUGUCAAAGGUGUUCCUUCUAAAUUAGGUGGAGGCAGCAUUUUUUCAGAUCGAUACUGCCUCAGUGACUCCCCUAGAGUUCUGGUAGCUUUUGGCUAGCAAACAGGAAGAGUUGUGGUAUGCCCUAUGCAUAAACAAUAAGACCAAAGAACUUAGUGGAUUAGUAGACCUCAGCUGUGGUCUGACAUCCCUGUAAAACUGAGAUGGGCAGUGUGCAAGGGCUGAAGCUGGCACAAAUCACGUACAUGGCCUGAUCAGCUGUGAAGCCACCUCGUAGAUCAGUCACAGCCAGAAGUGCAAAGCUCCACAGCAAACUGAGCUCAGUAGUAAAUAUUAUCAAGGAGUACAUGCCCUGAUUCUUGGUGAUGUUAGUGGGAAAAUGUAUUGAAUUCAUUUGGAGUUUGAGCUGCCUGUUAGAGGAAGUGCAUUAAGUAUUUAACCCAGAUGUUGUCCAUCUUUAACCACACAUUCUACCCAACCUGAUGCAUUUAAUUACCAAUAUAAGGUGUUAUUGCUGUGACUUAAUACUAUAUUAUAUUCUUACUCAAUGCUACUGUGGUGCAGCUGUAACUCAAAUACAGUGCUUUGUUUCAAAUAAAAAGGUGGGAAUAGAGAAGACAGGUGUCAUACAACAGAGGGGCAACCUCAUGAUAGGAAAUGGCAUUCUGAUUAAAUUUUCAGAGGGGCAUUGAUAUUCUUGGUAUUUCCUGUAUCAAAACAUCAUAGCAGCCAACUGACAGAAGCAGCAGCUCGUUGUUUCUUAAGUGGUGUUUGUUAGACCUCACUGUUCAAUAGGAGUCCCUGACAGCAUGCUUCAUCUCUGGAGAUGUAGCCCUUCUAGUCUAAGCAAACUAUAAAAACUUGUCCUUAGUCCAAAGAAACAGUCUUUGCACUGGAACCCAGGUGUCCUGAUUCACAGCCAGCACAACUUAAACUCAAGGGCAGACCCAACAUGCACCUCUGGUCUCUCCUAGAAGGAAAGAGUCGUACAUAGGCAUGCACGUCUACAAACCUCUACAUCUGGCAGCCUCACACCUUCCUGAACACAGCUCUGCAAUAGGAAGGUGCAACACAGCUGCAUUUUUCAUCAGGAGAAUAUGCUAAUUUUUGCUGUUACAACUCUAUAUAACCUGACAAUUGUUCUCUCCAGUCUCUUGGGUUAACUUUAUCUGUGGUUGUGUUUAGAAGUCCCAGAUGAUUAUGUAAUAGGUGGAAGAUACCUAAUAAUAUAACAGGCCUUUUCUGGUUUUUUCUAUGGCUGUAUUAAUGUCAUUUCUUAGCUAUCAUUGUGUCUUUUUCCACGUCAAUCCAUUGUGAAUCAUGCAGACACAGCAGUGAAAGAACAGAACCUGCUGCAGCCUGUGAGCAGCAAGAAAUUUCAGCUGGAUGACUGCAUAAGGGGUUUGCAAGACCGCCAGUAAUUUUUUAUAUUCAGAGUUAAAUAGAGCAAUAAGAUGGAAUUUAAGCUUUAGUGCAAUAGAUUGCAGCUCUUCAGUCAAUCAAAUUAUAGUUCAAUCAGUUCAUUUUAAUCACUUCUCUGGAGAGAAGUAAACCCCUAUGUUGAAGAAUAUGCAGCAAUUUUAUUGAUGGAAAGUUUAAUUGUUUCAUUUUUCCUUACCGUCUGUAACACACUAGACUUUUAAUCAGUGGGAACUGAAGUUAUAAUGAAGUAAAGUCCACUUUCCACAGUUCACAACUAGCUGAAAAUAAUUGGGUUGAGACUCCCAUCCAGACAGUGUAAUGCCUCUGGCAUUUUCCUGAAAACUACACUUAAUUGCUUUGCUGAUGUUGUUAAGUGGUCCUGAGGGGGAUGAAGUAGUAAAGCUGCCCACAUAUGCAGGGAAACAAUACACAAAAAAUGUCUUACAAGGUCCUUAAAGGAGGACCAACUAGUGACUAGAAGACAAUAUAUGGCUAUUUUCCCCCCCUUUUCUAUACCAGAGAGAACACAUGGGAGAGGCUGACAGAAUAAACUGGAAAUUCUAUAAAGACUAACAGUAUUUUUAUUUAAGGGCAGUAAGCUUGGGAUCAGAAGUACAGAAAACAUCAGGGCAGAGCUCUUGCAAUCAAACCUGCAACUUGAGGCUAGCCCGAGUUGCUUGGCAGUUUUAUGCUGAACGCUGGUUAGCUGCUGCCUGUCUUCAGCACCUUGGCCUGAGGAACAGAUGUACUCUUGUCCCUAGGGAGGGAGGACAGCUUGCUCUCUGUGCUCUGAAGUGACAGGACGUGAGCCAGCUAUGAGCUGAAAGCCUUGCCCAGGCAUCAGUGGGCCCAGCAUGUGCACCCCGUUAGGCUCUAAAUGUAGCCAGAGAUGGAAUAACACUUUGGCGUUUCUCCUGAUUUAGUGCAUUCAUGGGAGACUCUCCCUGGUUGAAUUGUGAUUGUUUAAAAUGAUGAAUCAACUGCUAGGCUCAAGGAUAUUCUGAUGUAGAAAUAUAUUAGUUAUUUAAUAGAGAAAGAUAUGUAUUUAGGCCCCACGAAUCAGGUAGUGUCCCUGAACUCAAAAUCAGGGUUGGAGCUGGACCUGUUUUGGGGGAGCGAGGACUAUAGUGUUAGCUUAGCUUUUUUAAGUAAGUGGGCUUUUGAGGGUUUUUUCCUUGUUUAUUUACAUAUACGAGCACAGUAAAGUCUCUCUCUCAACAGCUUGACCUUCCUCAGCUGCUAUUUGUGUAAACUUCAGUAUGACCUUUGCUUAUUUUAUUCUCGCUUUCACAGGCUCUGAGCUGAAAAAUUACGUCCUCACAACUUUCUAGAAAGGAACGCAGGCAAAACUGAGGUAUUGUGCUCUAAAGCUGGAAUCUUAAAAGUUCCCUUAACCCUAUAUCUGAUCCUGGAGGCCCUCCAGAAUCUGUGAGUUGGUACCUCAAAUCUUGGCCAGCACAGCUCUAUAAGCACCUGAAAUUAUGCUUUUUCCCCUGAAACAUGCUGAAGUCUAGACAAUACCUUGACAUGUAACCUCAUAUUAGCCUGACUAUUCCCCAUAAUAUUAAUAAGCCUUAACACUUAUUUCUCCUAUGGUGAAAUGAUCACCUCCCAUGUGCUGGAACUGUCAACCAUAUACCAAGGAGAUCAAGCUGUCAGAUUUGAGAAGAGCACUGGGAGUAGUGCACUGUGUCCAAUUCACUGUGUUUGCCUGCCUCUGGGAGAGCAGCUCAGCAGCAGCAGUGGUUGUGCUCUGCUGUUCCUGGUAUGGUGAGUAAUCUGGUUUUAGCAAAUGCUCCAAAUGAGGACUGUGUUGUGACAACUGAUGGGAGACUCUGCUUGGGUUUUGUACUCUCAGUGGUGCUGAGGGACUGAAGGAGCCAGGGCAAAUCUACAGUGCAAAAAACCAACCUGAUGUGGCUGGCUGAAACUUGCCACUGUGUUGUCUGGCUGUUUUAGAGGGUUCUCUGCCCUGGCCCUUCUUUUGGAGACAAGGUCACUGUCCUAGAAGGAGGAGUGUUUCCUGGAGCUGUAGUGCAGUCCUGUGCAGCACAGCUGCCAGAUGGCCCUUAUUGCCAAGCAGACCUGCUUGCUGAGUCUCACAUGCUUUAAAGUCUUACCCUGGGUCUCAAAGGAAACAGGAGGGAGGAUGAUUUGACACACAUUCUCCUGAUUUGACAUACUGUAUGGUUACAACAUGGUGUGUCAUCCAGAAGAAAUCCAAAAUACAUGUUCAUGUACAGGCACAAAUCUGACUGUUCCCUGAUAAACUGUUCAUGUGGAAAGAUACAAUUUGCAUGGUUGUCAUCAAAACCAGUGUAUGUAUUCAUUUGGAGAAGCAUGUCAGACACCAUAUGCCAGUAAUAUGCCUUUGAUAUGUUGGUGUCUGAAUCAUUUUUUUAACUGCUGAAUGGCAUAUGUUUAAAUGUAAACAAACAUCUGUUCUCUGUUUGUACUGUUGGUUUUUUUUAUUUCUAUAUUUUCUUUUGACUAAGAGUUGGAUUCAAACCCAGAAAAAAUGUGGGAUUCAUCGUGUUUUUUAAAGAAAGAUAGUUUUUUUAGUAUUUCAGCGUGUGGCCAAUGUGUAUGUUCUCAUAGGUGAGAAGAGUAUUUAAAAGAGAAUUUUUUCCCUUUCAGUAACCAAAACAAACUCAAUUUCCAGGCAAAAUAAAAAUUUUGACUAGAAGUUUCUUGAAUAAAAAAAUUAUUGUUUUAGUGUUGGGCGGGUUCUGCAAUGUAUGGGUUUACUGAAAAGCAGCCUAAUGUUACACCAUAACAUUAAAUUAUUUUUAUCCAGAAACUUUUCUGAUGAAGUUAAAGAACUUGCAGCGUAAUAAAUGACUUAAUAAAGGAAUGAAAUAAUA